AUCCAGCUGACGAGUCCCAAAUAAGACGAAAUGCACCUUAUCCUGGAU
rfam:Schistosoma mansoni strain Puerto Rico chromosome 7, complete genome